AGUGAACGCUGGCGGCAGGCCUAACACAUGCAAGUCGAACGGUAACAGGCCGCAAGGUGCUGACGAGUGGCGAACGGGUGAGUAAUGCAUCGGAACGUGCCCAGUCGUGGGGGAUAACUGCUCGAAAGAGCAGCUAAUACCGCAUACGACCUGAGGGUGAAAGCGGGGGACCGUAAGGCCUCGCGCGAUUGGAGCGGCCGAUGUCAGAUUAGCUAGUUGGUGGGGUAAAGGCCUACCAAGGCAACGAUCUGUAGGUGGUCUGAGAGGACGACCAGCCACACUGGGACUGAGACACGGCCCAGACUCCUACGGGAGGCAGCAGUGGGGAAUUUUGGACAAUGGGCGCAAGCCUGAUCCAGCAAUGCCGCGUGCAGGAAGAAGGCCUUCGGGUUGUAAACUGCUUUUGUCAGGGAAGAAAUCUUCUGGGCUAAUACCCCGGGAGGAUGACGGUACCUGAAGAAUAAGCACCGGCUAACUACGUGCCAGCAGCCGCGGUAAGAC
rnacentral:rRNA from 1 species